rnacentral:rRNA from 1 species
UACAGAGGGGCAAGCGUUGUUCGGAAUUACUGGGCGUAAAGGGCGCGUAGGCGGCCUGCUAAGUCGAACGUGAAAUCCCCGAGCUCAACUCGGGAACUGCGUCCGAUACUGGCAGGCUUGAAUCCGGGAGAGGGAUGCGGAAUUCCAGGUGUAGCGGUGAAAUGCGUAGAUAUCUGGAGGAACACCGGUGGCGAAGGCGGCAUCCUGGACCGGCAUUGACGCUGAGGCGCGAAAGCCAGGGGAGCAAACGGG